rnacentral:rRNA from 1 species
UGGGGAAUAUUGGACAAUGGGGGGAACCCUGAUCCAGCAAUGCCGCGUGUGUGAAGAAGGCCUGAGGGUUGUAAAGCACUUUAGUUGGGGAGGAGGGUAUAAAGGUUAAGAGCUAUUAUACUGGACGUUACCCAAAGAAUAAGCACCGGCUAACUCCGUGCCAGCAGCCGCGGUAAUACGGAGGGUGCAAGCGUUAAUCGGAAUGACUGGGCGUAAAGGGUGCGUAGGUGGUUUAAUAAGUUAACUGUGAAAGCCCUGGGCUCAACCUGGGAAGGCCAGUUAAGACUGUAAGACUCGAGUACAGGAGAGGGUAGUGGAAUUUCCGGUGUAGCGGUGAAAUGCGUAGAGAUCGGAAGGAACACCAGUGGCGAAGGCGGCUACCUGGCCUGAUACUGACACU